rnacentral:lncRNA from 1 species
AUGAAAGAAUACAUUAAAAAUUUUCUGGUUUUUAAAGCAGCUCUGAGAGCAUCCUUUAAAACUCCUGGUUCUCUAGAGAAAUUCUCUGAAAUACUCCUACAGCCAUGUUCUACUUCUGGCACAUUCAUGGUGACCCCAUUUGCAAAUACACUCCACCACUCUCUGGUGAGCAAAACAGAUUUUAUUGAGGAUCUUGUAUUAGAAACAGAUAUGUAAUCAAAUCCUUCUAUGGGCAUCUGUUCUUUCCUCCAAAAUUCUCAUCCCUUGUCAGUGGUCUGUCCUCACUAUCACUCUUCUCUGGCCACAUGCUUCCCUUCCACAAUCACCAGCCCCUGAAAAUCUCCUGACUGCCUUAGCAAUUUGCCCCCUGCCCUUUGUUAUAUGUCCUCUCUGCAAAACAAAAAACCGGUAAUAAACUCAAAACCAAGGAUAUAUUUUUUCCUCCAGCGUACCCCUCAAGGAACUUAGCAAACAACUCACUGAACAGAAAAAGCUGCCUUCUUGGGGUGGGGAGCUGUUAAGUAAGAAAAUAAAUUUAGGGGGCACCUGGGUGGCUCAGUCGGUCGAGCAUCCGACUCUUGAUUUUGGCCCAGGUCACGAUCCCAGGGCAUGGGAUCGAGCCCUGCAUCUGGCUCGGUGCUGAGCAUGGAGUCCGCUUAGGAUUAUUUGUCUCUCUCUCUCUCUGUGCCCCUCUCCCGCUCAUGUAUUCUCUCUCUCCCUCUCGCAAAAAAAAUGAAUUUUUGCCAUAACAUUUCAUUUACGUAGAAAAAAAGACUGGAAGGAUAUUCCCAAAAUGUUAACAGUGUUUAUCUCUAGGAAACUAGAUUACACGUAGUUUUUUUUUUGCCUCCUGUGUAUUUCUGUACUUUUCUAUAACUUUUGUUUUUGUAUUUUUCAAAUUUUCUAUAGCACAUGCUGUAUUUCUUUAAGAAGCUGAAAAAAAAAAGAAAUUUCUUUUUUGCUCAACUUCAGUGAUCAUCAGGGAAAUGCAUUAAAACCACAGUGAGGUACUGCUUCAUGCCCGUUAGGGUGGUUGCCAC